UAGUCAUAUGCUUGUCUCAAAGAUUAAGCCAUGCAUGUCUAAGUAUAAGCAAUAUAUAAAGUGAAACUGCGAAUGGCUCAUUAAAUCAGUUAUCGUUUAUUUGAUGAUACCUUACUACAUGGAUAACCGUGGUAAUUCUAGAGCUAAUACAUGCAUAAAAGUCCCGACUUUUGGAGGGAUGUAUUUAUUAGAUAAAAAACCAAUGCCGAUUGGCUCUUUGGUGAUUCAUAGUAACUUAACGAAUUGCACAGCCUUGUGCUGGCAAUGGUUCAUUCAAAUUUCUGCCCUAUCAACUUUCGAUGGUAAGAUAUAGGCUUACCAUGGUUUUAACGGGUAACGGAGAAUUAGGGUUCGAUUCCGGAGAGGGAGCCUGAGAAACGGCUACCACAUCCAAGGAAGGCAGCAGGCGCGCAAAUUACCCAAUUCCGACACAGGGAGGUAGUGACAAUAAAUAACAAUGCCGGGCCUUUAUAGGUCUGGCAAUUGGAAUGAGAACAAUUUAAAUCCCUUAUCGAGGAUCAAUUG
rnacentral:rRNA from 1 species